AUUGAACGCUGGCGGCAGGCCUAACACAUGCAAGUCGAGCGAGCGGCGGACGGGUGAGUAAUGUCUGGGAAACUGCCUGAUGGAGGGGGAUAACUACUGGAAACGGUAGCUAAUACCGCAUACCAUCAGAUGUGCCCCGAUGGGAUUAGCUAGUAGGUGGGGUAACGGCGCACCUAGGCGACGAUCCCUAGCUGGUCUGAGAGGAUGACCAGCCACAGGGGAACGUUGACACGGGCCAGACGCCGACGGGAGUCAGCAGUGGGGAAUAUGGGACAAUGGGCGCAGGCCUGAUGCAGCCAUGCCGCGUGUGUGAAGAAGGCGUUCGGGUUGUAAAUCACUUUCAGCGGGGAGGCGUUACCCGCAGAAGAAGCACCGGCUAACUCCGUGCCAGCCGCCGCGGUAAUUC
rnacentral:rRNA from 1 species